AGCGGAGGAAAAGAAACCAACAUGGAUUCCCCUAGUAGCGGCGAGCGAAGCGGGAUGAGCCCAGAUUUGAAAGCUCCCGCCAGGGCGCAUUGUAAGCUGGAGACGUGCCUCGAGCGGCGCGGCUGGACGCCAAGUCUGCUGGAAAGCAGCAUCAGAGAGGGUGAGAAUCCCGUGCUUGGUCUGGCUGUGGCGCCGUGUUGUGGGGUGCGCUCGACGAGUCGCGUUGUUUGGGAAUGCAGCGCAAAGCGGGUGGUAAACGCCAUCCAAGGCUAAAUACCGGGGAGAGACCGAUAGCGAACAAGUACCGUGAGGGAAAGAUGAAAAGCACUUUGGAAAGAGAGUUAAACAGUACGUGAAAUUGCCAAGAGGGAAGCGCUGGCAGUCAGUGCCGUAGCUGUGUCUCUCUGUGGAUGCAGUGGGGCCCGCAUCGGUUGCGUGUGGGGGAGAAGGCAGUGCGGAAGGUGGCUUACCUCGUGUGAGUGUUAUAGCCGUGCUGUGGAUGCCCUGCGUGCGACCGAGGACCGCUCUUUUGACAGGAUGCGGGCUUAAUGGCUUUCAGCGGCCCGUCUUAAUCCGG
rnacentral:rRNA from 1 species